rnacentral:lncRNA from 1 species
CACCCAAGGCUUGACAACCCAUGAUUCUUUCAUAUCAGGGGUUGUGACUACAGAUCUAAUGACUAGUAAUUAAGAUCUAGAUGUGCACCACCAAGCUCAAUCUAGCCUCCAGGAAUACCAUCAAUCCCUAAUUCAAAAAUAGAGGGAGGGUCAAGGUUAUCUCGGGUGUAGGGCUUGUCCCUUGAGCCUGAUAUGCCUCCAAGAUCAGGUAUAUUUGCCUCCUAUUGAUUGCAAGAGUGACAAGCCUCGUUGGAGAGAGAAACAAAAGGAUAAUGGGAGAGGCUAAGUAUGACACACACACACACACACACACAGAGAGAGAGAGAGAGAGAGAGAGAGAGAGAGAGAGG